CGUCUUUGACACUCAGGUAAACACAUGCAAAUCCUCCACUGUUCAACACGCGGAUUAUUGUUUCCAAUAAGGAUCAAUGACGGUUUAUGUACUCACAACAUUGAAACACCUGAUCCACCUCAACCGACGGUGGUUUGAUUGAAAGAGCAGGGACGAUGCGGUACACCCGUGACAAGAAGAAGAACUCCACAAUCAGAGACACAAGGUUCCAGCCCAGGAUGAAGCCACAGCCAACUACAUUGGAGGCCAGGGUCAUGACCUGUCCCACCGCUAGUGGGGCCAGGAUGUUAGUCACCUGAUCUAUCCGCCUCAUGGUUGCAUUCAUUCCUUUUGUUAGGAUCAAAGACACAGAGGUUAAUGCGUUUCCACUAGAGGACGGUCAGCGAGAGCAGAAAAAGGCCAACACCUCUGUAGGUUAAGUAUAUCUGACGCACAACCACUGAUGUGGGACAAAAAUGGAAUGCAAACAAAUGUGUGCAUCAACAAAAAACAAAUGCCCUCACCAGCUAAGUGACCUCGGUUGUAGCCUGUGAUAACCACAAUCCAGUCCCUCUGAAUGGCAAUGGUCAGUGCUGUGCUUGCAAGGUUGGCCACAUCUGCCAGGAUGAUCACCACCGUAUAACAAACCACCUUGUGUGAGUUUUGCGAUGCAACAUGUUACUACAACAGCACAGAGUAGCCACAAGCUCAGAAGCAGAGACAACAUGGACACAGGACAGAAGGAACAACAGCAGCAGUAACUCCUCUGUGUCAUAAUCAUGGCGUUAUAUGUUGGUCGCUUUUCAGCCUCGACUACAACGUAUGCCACAAAAACCAGCAGAAGCAUCAGAGGG